rnacentral:rRNA from 1 species
AGCGAACGCUGGCGGCAGGCUUAACACUGCCAGUCGAGCGGACACUUCGGUGUCAGCGGCAGACGGGUGAGUAACACGUGGGAACGUACCCUUUGGUUCGGAAUAACGCAGGGAAACUAGCGCUAAUACCGGAUACGCCCUUUUGGGGAAAGGCUUGCUGCCGAAGUAUCGGCCCGCGUUUGAUUAGCUAGUUGGUGGGGUAAUGGCCUACCAAGGCGACGAUCAGUAGCUGGUCUGAGAGGAUGAUCAGCCACACUGGGACUGAGACACGGCCCAGACUCCUACGGGAUGCAGCAGUGGGGAAUAUUGGACAAUGGGCGCAAGCCUGAUCCAGCCAUGCCGCGUGAGUGAUGAAGGCCUUAGGGUUGUAAAGCUCUUUUGACCGGGACGAUAAUGACGGUACCGGAAGAAUAAGCCCCGGCUAACUUCGUG